AUUGAACGCUGGCGGGAGGCCUAACACAUGCAAGUCGAACGAGUGGCGGACGGGUGAGUAAUAUCUGGGAAACUGCCCGAUGGAGGGGGAUAACUACUGGAAACGGUAGCUAAUACCGCAUACCAUCGGAUGUGCCAUGAUGGGAUUAGCUAGUAGGUGGGGUAAAGGCUCACCAAGGCGACGCUCCCUAGCUGGUUUGAGAGGAUGACCAUCCACACUGGAACUGAGACACGGUCCAGACUCCUACGGGAGGCAGCAGUGGGGAAUAUUGCACAAUGGGGGCAAGCCUGAUGCAGCCAUGCCGCGUGUAUGAAGAAGGCCUUCGGGUUGUAAAGUACUUUCAGCGGGGAGGCGUUACUCGCAGAAGAAGCAUUGGCUAACUCCGUGCCAGCAGCCGCGGUAAUAC
rnacentral:rRNA from 1 species